CAACCCCCCAAGCCCUGGCUGCUUGGUGUUGGGGCUUAAUCUGCAGCGCCUUUACGGCGGCUGCAGGCCCCUAAUUACAGGGGCGGACCCACCGAGGCCCCGGGCGCAGUGGUGUAUCUCCCCGCUCCAGGGCGCCGCGGCGGGCUCUCCUGCCGUAAAAACCCCACUAUUUUUCAA
rnacentral:misc_RNA from 1 species